GACACUCAAGCUGCCCUAUGGAGAAGUCCAUGGGGUAAUGAAUUGAGGCUUUCUGCUAACAGUCAGCAUGAACUUGCGACCCAUGUGAGAGAGCCAACGGGGAAAUGGAUCCUCCAGCCCCCAUCAUGGCUUCAGAUGACUGCAGCGCUGACUGACAUCUUGAUCCUGCAACCUUAUGAGAGACCCAGAGCCAGAACUACCCAGCUACGCUACUCCCAAAUUCCUGGCCAACAGAAAAUCCAAUUCUCCAGUGUUCAGGGCUGAUUAUAUUGUUGGAGGUUCAUCCAAGACUCCUCAGUUCUUUCUACUGCUGUCUACUUUGGACCAUAUUGCUAACAAUAAACUGCUGUGAACGUGUCUGUCAGAGACUGCGCAGGCUAAGAGAGAGAAGAGGAAAGAAAUCAGUCCCAUUUACAAUUAAUCAGCAGCUCCAAUGGGAGAAGGUAUUAAAAGUACUAUUACAGCUAAAGCCUAGAGAUGAAGUAGAUGACCAUCCUUGAUUGGCUACAUGUGGAGAGGAAGCAGAGUUGUGCGUGAGAAGGAGAGCAAAGAUGAUGACCGGGAAGGGGUUCUUUUAAGAAGCCACAUCAUUCAUUCGGUCUGAGGUCCUGAUAAAGACCACGAUGCUGCCACAGAAAACUAACCAGGAGAAUUCCGGAGGGGCCGAAAGGAGGGAGGACACGCCAGCCCAUAGUAUGUCUUGUAAAACUAACCUGGAAGCAUUCGGGAGAGGCCAAAAGGAGGAGGGAGAAGACCAUAUGUCCUGCCAACCUCGCAGAAACCCUCAGGAAUCCAUCUUGGCUGAGAGAUGAACGCGCCACCAGGAAGAACCCUGAGUCAGAUGGCCAGAGACAACCCAGAAACUUACCCCAUUACCAUAAAAUCUGAGACUGUGAGCCACGUGGCAGAGCAGUUCUCCUGGGUUCCCUUACCCUGCUGCUCUCUGCCCGGUACCC